CUGGCCUGCUAGAGAUUCUUUAAACCAUUGUUAGCACACUAAGCUCUUGGAGAUUGUGGUGUUACUGUGGAGAGGCUUGUGAAACAGGUGUUUUCGGUAAAAAUAGUUACAAUUGGGGCCGCCAUGUUGCAGCAGGAGUCAGUGCAGUCGUCUGUCUGCUCUGAGUUGCUCAGCAGCAGCUUUAUUACCUGUAUGGUGACAAUUAUCUCGUUGUCGUGUGACUUUUGGGCAGUGAAGAAUGUCACAGGUAGACUAAUGGUUGGCCUACGUUGGUGGAAUCACAUUGAUGAAGAGGGAAAGAGCCACUGGGUAUUUGAAUCUAGAAAGGAGUCCUCUCAGGAGAAUAAAACUGUGUCAGAGGGUGACUCAAGAGUCUUUUGGUUGGGACUUACUGCCUAUCCAGUGCUGUGGGUGAUAUUUGCCUUUAGUGCACUCUUCUCCUUCAGAGUAAAGUGGUUGGUGGUGGUUAUCAUGGGUGUGGUGCUACAAGGUGCCAACCUGUAUGGUUACAUCAGGUGUAAGGUGGGCAGCAGAAAGAAUUUAACCAGCAUGGCUACUUCAUAUUUUGGAAAGCAGUUCUUACGACAAAACACGAGAUGAUCAGACUUCCUGAAUAGAGAAAACUUAUGUGCUUUGUUACAUUGGGGAACAACUGAAGAGAUUCUUGACUCUGAACCUUUUAGAGCUUAGUCCAUGUUGCAACGAGGAGCGUUGGCUCUGUUUUUCCACUUAAAAGCUUUAUUUAUAAAAAGGAAAAGUAGUUUUCAUAUUAAGUUUUUAUUUUCUUUCCAGCAUUUGGGGCUAGAAAGUAUGUGCUGGCACUAGAAACAUUGUCAGGAUUUAUUCUGUGGUGUAGGUAUGCACAUGUUCCAUAGGUAUGCACACAGCCGUGGAAUAUCAGUAUAUCCCAAGUUAAUGAAAGUGGUCAUUUACAUAGGUAAUGGAGACCUUCACAUUUUGAUCCAUAAAACAUAGGAGGAUGUUCUUCGUCUGUCUCAAAGCUCUAUGUGUUUACAUAUUAUUUCUGUAGAUUAUUCUCAGGAGUAAAUUUUGCUUCCAUGGUAAGAGUGAGCCCUUUGGCUUA